rnacentral:rRNA from 1 species
UACGUAGGGGGCGAGCGUUGUCCGGAAUCAUUGGGCGUAAAGCGCGUGUAGGCGGCUCGGUAAGUCUGCUGUGAAAGUCCAGGGCUCAACCCUGGGAUGCCGGUGGAUACUGUCGAGCUCGAGUCCGGAAGAGGCGAGUGGAAUUCCUGGUGUAGCGGUGAAAUGCGCAGAUAUCAGGAAGAACGCCCGUGGCUAAGGCGGCUCUCUAGUACGGUACUGACGCUGAGACGCGAAAGCGUGGGGAGCGAACAGG